AGUCGAGCGGAAACGAUGGGAGCUUGCUCCCAGGCGUCGAGCGGCGGACGGGUGAGUAACACGUGGGAAUCUGCCCAUUAGUGGGGGAUAACUCGGGGAAACUCGAGCUAAUACCGCAUAAUCCCUACGGGGGAAAGCAGGGGAUCUUCGGACCUUGCGCUGAUGGAUGAGCCCGCGUCGGAUUAGCUUGUUGGUGGGGUAAUGGCCCACCAAGGCGACGAUCCGUAACUGGUCUGAGAGGAUGGCCAGUCACACCGGGACUGAGACACGGCCCGGACUCCUACGGGAGGCAGCAGUGGGGAAUCUUGGACAAUGGGCGCAAGCCUGAUCCAGCCAUGCCGCGUGUGUGAAGAAGGCCUUCGGGUUGUAAAGCACUUUCAGUAGGGAGGAAGGCUUUGGGCUAAUACCCUGGAGUACUUGACGUUACCUACAGAAGAAGCACCGGCUAAUUUCGUGCCAGCAGCCGCGGUAAUACGAAAGGUGCGAGCGUUAAUCGGAAUUACUGGGCGUAAAGCGCGCGUAGGCGGUGUGUUAAGUCGGAUGUGAAAGCCCAGGGCUCAACCUUGGAAUGGCAUCCGAUACUGGCACGCUAGAGUGCAGUAGAGGGAGGUGGAAUUUCCGGUGUAGCGGUGAAAUGCGUAGAGAUCGGAAGGAACACCAGUGGCGAAGGCGGCCUCCUGGACUGACACUGACGCUGAGGUGCGAAAGCGUGGGGAGCAAACAGGAUUAGAUACCCUGGUAGUCCACGCUGUAAACGAUGUCUACUAGCCGUUGGGGUCCUUAGUGACUUUGGUGGCGCAGCUAACGCGAUAAGUAGACCGCCUGGGGAGUACGGCCGCAAGGUUAAAACUCAAAUGAAUUGACGGGGGCCCGCACAAGCGGUGGAGCAUGUGGUUUAAUUCGAUGCAACGCGAAGAACCUUACCAGGCCUUGACAUCCUGCGAACUUUCU
rnacentral:rRNA from 1 species